rnacentral:sRNA from 1 species
AUGUGAAAUAUCGACUUCGUCGAUGUGAAAUAUUGAACAGCAGGCUGUUCAAUGUGAAAUGCGGCCUGCCGGCCGCGUGAUAUAUACU